CAGUCGCCGCGGGAAUACGUAGGUGGCAAGCGUUGUCCGGAUUUAUUGGGCGUAAAGCGAGCGCAGGCGGUUUCUUAAGUCUGAUGUGAAAGCCCCCGGCUCAACCGGGGAGGGUCAUUGGAAACUGGGAGACUUGAGUGCAGAAGAGGAGAGUGGAAUUCCAUGUGUAGCGGUGAAAUGCGUAGAUAUAUGGAGGAACACCAGUGGCGAAGGCGGCUCUCUGGUCUGUAACUGACGCUGAGGCUCGAAAGCGUGGGGAGCGAACAGGAUUAGAUACCCCUGUAGUCCCUGUCUCUUAUAC
rnacentral:rRNA from 1 species